CAGCUGUUUCAGUGCUGGGUGAGAUGGAUGUAUGGAUUAUCUUGCCCUUUUUCCUCCAAGGAGGCCGUUAUACCAUUGGAGAUAUACAUUAUGUUGCAGAUUCUGAUAGGCUUGUUCCAGCAGGUGAAACUGAAUUUGCUAAAGAUGCUGCUUUUGGAUACAAAUCUUCCAACCUCCGUGAG